rnacentral:tRNA from 2 species
GGUGGUAUAGCCAAGUGGUAAGGCCGAGGUUUGCAAAACCUUUAUCCCCAGUUCAAAUCUGGGUACCGCCU